rnacentral:rRNA from 1 species
CCUACGGGAGGCAGCAGUGGGGAAUAUUGCACAAUGGGGGAAACCCUGAUGCAGCGACGCCGCGUGAGUGAAGAAGUAUCUCGGUAUGUAAAGCUCUAUUAGCAGGGAAGAAAAUGACGGUACCUGACUCAGAAUCCCCGGAUAACUACAUGCCAGCAGCCGCGGUACUACGGAGGGGGCCAGCGUUAUCCGGAUUUACUGGGUGUUAAGGGAGCGUAGACGGCAAGACAAGUCAGAAGUGAAAGCCUAGGGCUCAACCCUGGGACUGCUAUUGAAACUGGCGGGCUUGAGUGCAGGUGAGGUAGGCGGAAUUCCUAGUGUAGCGGUGAAAUGCGUAGAUAUUAGGAGGAACACCAGUGGCGAAGGCAGCUUACUGGACUGUAACUGACGUUGAGGCUCGAAAGCGUGGGUAGCAAACAGGAUUAGAUACCCGUGUAGUC